rnacentral:miRNA from 1 species
UACCUCAUCGACCGGAAAGAAUUCCUUCUGGCCGAUGAGGUUGUUGUACCUCAUUGACCAGAAGGAUUUCCUUCUGGUUGAUGGGGUU